UACGUAGGGUGCGAGCGUUAAUCGGAAUUACUGGGCGUAAAGCGUGCGCAGGCGGUCAGUUAAGUCUGAUGUGAAAGCCCCGGGCUCAACCUGGGAAUGGCAUUGGAAACUGGCUUGCUGGAGUGUGGCAGAGGGGGGUGGAAUUCCGCGUGUAGCAGUGAAAUGCGUAGAGAUGCGGAGGAACACCGAUGGCGAAGGCAGCCCCCUGGGCCAACACUGACGCUCAGGCACGAAAGCGUGGGGAGCAAACAGG
rnacentral:rRNA from 1 species